GCGGCGGUGGUCUAACGGUAUGAUACUUCCCUGCCACGGAGGAAACCCGAGUUCAAUUCUCGGCCGCCGCA
rnacentral:tRNA from 1 species